rnacentral:lncRNA from 10 species
AAUCAGCCCAUGCUCAUGUGCAACCUCGAGGAAGCCUUCCUGGCUCAGGGGAGGAAUGUGCUCUUUGUCGCUCUCUGGCCAUUGGCUGGCCCCUGAGGGCUCCAGGGCGCCCCUGAUAACUACAUUUAGACAGGCAGUCACAAGCCUGGGGACUGCAGGCACAGUGAGGAAGGUAGGGAAGGGUCUCUCCAAGACAGGCCCACCAGGAGCCCCCACUGGGAAUAAUGCAGCCCCUCUCAGGGGAUGGAGUGUCUGGAAUUCCAUGGCUGAGGUGCAACAGGUGACUGAAGGUUUGAGGAGGCAACGCUGCCACUCACAGUCAGAAGCAGAGGGGAUGAGAUGGCCAGAUGUGAUUGGAAUCAGACACAGUGAGGUUUGAAUCCUCACUCUGUCCUUUUUGUUGUGUGGCCUGUGUGACAGGUCCCACAGCCUCUCCAGCCUCUGUGGGAAGAAGGAUCAUCUGAUGCCUAUGUAAUAGAGUUGCUGAAGGAGUGGAAGCAGCUUUGACAUUAUCAGUGGAACCCACCAGUGCAGACUGCUUCACCAAGGGCACCUGAGGCAGCAGAUCUGAGGAUUAGGGACGUAGGGAGCUGAAGCCUGGCUGGAGAGGUGGUGCGCACAAGAACCCCCACAUUCCCCGACAGGAGCCUGAAAAAGGCAAGACGCCAUGUUGGGAGGACACGGAAGCAGUUCUAGGGAGAGGAGCACAUGGCAAGAAGCCAAGGCCUCCUGCCCACAGCCGUUUCUUUUGCAGAUACCCUGUGAUUGCCAGCAAGUAAACCAGAUGCAAUUGUGGUUUCCGUGAAGCACAGCUGGAAAACUGCUGCCCCCACGGAGGAAGAGGAAGAUGGGAAGAUGGUGGUUACUGCACACCAGGCACCAGCCUCGGGGCUAUGAGCUGUACAAACAUUACCCAUUUUAUCCUCGUGACCAUGUUCUGAGAAGGCUGUCAAUGAUCUCACUUUAUACAUGGGGAAAUUCAUGCAGACAGAGGCUGACUAAAUUGCCAUGGUCACUCAGCUAGUAGGAACUGGAGCUGUAACUUGAACCCGGGUCUUUUGUUUCUGUGGCUCCUGGUAGCACAUGCCGGGCUUGAAGUGAGAUCCGGAGGAUGUUGGAAACAACGUGUUCCCCAUCAUGAAAGUCCUUAUGAUACCUUAUGAUGCAGAGUUGGCAGCCAGGAGCAGGGGCUUCCAGAAGCAUGGCUGACCCUUGUUGGGAUCUCGCUCCUGUGAGCCUUGGAACGUCUAGGGAGAAAGAGCAGCCAAAUUUAGAGCUGCAGGAGCUUUGAGAUGCAGCUCAGGCAUCAUCUCUGGGAAGUCUUUCCUGGAACCACAGCCUGGGCCCUGUACCUGAUUCCCAGCCCCUGUGGCUCUUUUUGCAUUUGCUGCCUCUUUUCACAAUUCUGUCUCCUUAUGUCUUCCACUCUACACGCAAGCCCCUUGAGGGCAGGACCAUGACUCAGUCAUCCUGUACCCUAGCACCCACCCUGGGUCUGCAUCUGGAAGGAGCUCACUAAGUGAUUAUUGAGCCAAACUGAACUGUAGCAGGAGUGAGCAAAGCUAAUUCAUGGGUGCAGAAUGGGAGCACAGAGCUGCCAGAAUCCAGAGACAACUGUAACUGUCCCGGCACAGGGGGCUUCAGGCCGCGGUGAGAGCCACUGAAAGCAAGAGAGCCAGGUGGUGGCUCAGUUCACACUGAGUCCUGCUGAAGAAAUAGGCACAUCGUGUGUGUUAAAAUCAGCACCCCAUGCACCUGUAGGAAGAGACUGAGGCACCCUGGAGGCCCCUCCCAAUAAUUAAAAGGCCCUCUGGGGCCUGUGGGAGCCCUAGCUGAUGAAAUCACAAAGGCCUCAGCCUCUAAAGUGUUUCCAGUAAAAUGCUACCAGGAUUUUCCUCCCUUAAAUCUGGAUGAAAGGGCUGUCUGUGCUACAAAGUGCACACCUGGCGUUGAUACGCAGUCUCUUGCUGCCUGUUAACUAACCCACCAGCCGACAAGUUCUGCCCACUGGCAGGAGCAAGGACUUAUAAAAAAUAGUGCCUCCCUCCCAAGGGCUUAUGAGCUGGUUAAGUGCAGAGGACAAAUAGAAUGAAAGAAAAGGCAAUCUCGGCAUAGUAUUUAGUUAAUUCUUCUCUCUCUCUUGUUCCCUCUCUCUCCUUUCUCUCUUCCUCCCUCCUUUCUAUGACUUGUCCUCUCCACACAACUCCUUUUCCGUUUUCCCUCCCCUGCCUCCCCACCUUCUUUCUUGACUUCCCAUCUUGCUCCCUUUCUUCCUGCCUGCCCAUCUGCUUUCCUUUCUUAUCUCUGGUGCAAAUUCUGCAUAUAGUCGCUCUCCUCAUUUCAUGACAGGCUGUCUUCAUCAGUUUCUGAGUUCUUUUGUUAUUUUAUAAAAUAUUUUACAUGCUGUCCUCAAAAAAUCCCCUCCCCCAGAAAAGGCCCAUUCAAAAGUACUUACUAUACGUCCUUAGAUAGGCAAUGAUCUCUGAAAUAUAUAUAGGCUUGCUCUAUAUGUGUUUUUGUAAGUGUACUUUUCUUUCAUUAAAUAUGCAGAUCUUAAUUGUACAGUUUGAGGUGUUUUGACAAAGGUAUAUACCAGUAAAACCACCACCCCAACCAAGGUACCGAACACUUUCAUCUCUCUGGAAAGUCCCCUUGUGCCACCUUCCAGUCAACUCUCACCCUCCAGAGGCACCCACUGUUCAGAUUUCUACAUGCAUUUUGCCUGUUGCUGAACUGGAACCUCACAGCCUUUUACGUCUGGCUUCUUUCACUUAACAUAAUGUUUUUAAGUCAUCCAUGUAGUUCAUUCUUUUUUUUGUUGCAGAGCAAUAUUCCAUUGUGUGAAUGGAUGUACUUUAUCCAUCAACAGUUGAUGAAGUUGGGUUGGUGGCACUUUUUGGCUAUCGUGGGUAAUGCUGCUCUGGAUGUUUCUGCACAAGUCUUUAUUGUGGACAUGGGUUUCCAUUUCUUCUGGGCAAAUGCCCAGGAACAGAAUUGCUGAUUCAUUAGGAAGUUAUAUGUUUAACUUCAUAAGAAACUGGAAAACCGCACUCCACAGUGUUCAUGCUAUUGCACAUUGCCCCCAGUGCCAUGUGAAUGUUUCAUUCUUGGGGUCUAGAAUAUCUUACUGCAGUUUUAAUUGGAAGUUCUCUGAUGACUUUUGAUAGAGUAUCUUUUCAUGUGCUUAUUGGUUAUUUAUUUCUUCUUUAAAGAAGAGUCUAGAUCCUUUUCCCAUUUAAAAUUGCAUUGCUUCUAUUUUUACUGUUGAUUCUUAGAAGUUCUUUACAUAUUUUAGAUUUAUAUACAGUAAAUAUUUUCUCCCAGUCCAUGGCUUGCCUUUACCUUUUCUUAAUGGUGUCUUUUGAUUAACCAGACAUUUUAAAUUUUCAUGAAGCCUAUUGUAUCGGGGGUUGUUUUUGUUUGUUCAUUUAUGGUUAGUACUCUUUUUGGUGCUAGCCAGGAAAACUUUGCCUACAUUCUCCUAAGCUCAUGAAUAUAUUUUUCUAUAUUUGUUUCUAGGACAUUUAUAAUUCAAACUUUUAUGUUCUAGCCUAUCACUCAUGUAUAGUUAUGUAUAGUAUAAAUAAGGAUUGAAGUUCAUUUUUCUUUCCAUAUACUUAUCCAGUUAUUCCAGCACCAUUUGUUGAAAACACUUUCUUUCCCUCAUUGAAUUUCCUUGAAGCUUGUGCUCAUAACUUAUAUAACGAGUAUUGCGUUACAAUUUCCAUUAUAUUUCUUAAUUUUUCACUUAACACAAUGUUUAUAUGAUCUAUCCGCAAUGCUGUAUUCAGUCAUUUGAAUUCACUCAUUCAUUUUAUCAUUCAAUAAAUCUGCAGUGGUGAAGAAAACAGAACAUGGCUUUAUUCUCAUGAAAUUUAUAAUCUAGUGAGAGAUAUUGGCCAAAAAAAUUAUACACACACACCCAGGUAAUGAUAAGAGCUA